rnacentral:rRNA from 1 species
CUUAACGGUAAAAGGGCCUUCGAUACUGGAUUUCUUGAGUUCGGAAGAGGUCGGUGGAAUUCGUGGUGUAGCGGUGAAAUGCAUAGAUAUCACGAAGAACACCAGUGGCGAAGGCGGCCGACUGGUCCGAUACUGACGCUGAGGCACGAGAGCGUGGGGAGCGAACAGGAUUAGAUACCCUGGUAGUCCACGCUGUAAACGAUGCAUGCUAGUUGUUGUCCCUUCGGGGGCAGUGACGCAGUUAACGCAGUAAGCAUGCCACCUGGGGAGUACGUUCGCAAGAAUGAAACUCAAAGGAAUUGACGGGGGCCCGCACAAGCGGUGGAGCAUGUGGCUUAAUUCGAUGCAACGCGAAGAACCUUACCUAGGCUAAAUCUGUGGUGAUCGCCCCUGAAAGGGGGUUUCCCUUCGGGGCAC